CGCCUGGGGAGUACGGCCGCAAGGUUAAAACUCAAAUGAAUUGACGGGGGCCCGCACAAGCGGUGGAGCAUGUGGUUUAAUUCGACGCAACGCGAAGAACCUUACCUGGCCUUGACAUGCAGAGAACUUUCCAGAGAUGGAUUGGUGCCUUCGGGAACUCUGACACAGGUGCUGCAUGGCCGUCGUCAGCUCGUGUCGUGAGAUGUUGGGUUAAGUCCCGUAACGAGCGCAACCCCUAUCCCUAGUUGCUAGCAGUUCGGCUGAGAACUCUAGGGAGACUGCCGGUGACAAACCGGAGGAAGGUGGGGAUGACGUCAGGUCAUCAUGGCCCUUACGGCCAGGGCUACACACGUGCUACGAUGGUGCGCACAGAGGGCUGCAAACCCGCGAGGGGGAGCCAAUCUCACAAAACGCAUCGUAGUCCGGAUCGCAGUCUGCAACUCGACUGCGUGAAGUCGGAAUCGCUAGUAAUCGUGAAUCAGAAUGUCACGGUGAAUACGUUCCCGGGCCUUGUACACACCGCCCGUCACACCAUGGGAGUGGAUUGCACCAGAAGUGGUUAGUCUAACCUUCGGGAGGACGAUCACCACGGUGUGGUUCAUGACUGGGGUGAAGUCGUAACAAGGUAACCGUA
rnacentral:rRNA from 1 species